GAAAGGCAGUGGAAACUGAAAAGCUAGAGGUCGGUAGGGGCAGAGGGAAUUCCCAGUGUAGCGGUGAAAUGCGUAGAUAUUGGGAAGAACACCGGUGGCGAAAGCGCUCUGCUGGGCCGAACCUGACGCUGAGGGACGAAAGCUAGGGGAGCGAAUGGGAUUAGAUACCCCAGUAGUCCUAGCCGUAAACGAUGGAGACUAGGUGUUGCCUGUAUCGACCCGGGCAGUGCCGAAGCCAACGCGUUAAGUCUCCCGCCUGGGGAGUACGCACGCAAGUGUGAAACUCAAAGGAAUUGACGGGGGCCCGCACAAGCGGUGGAGUAUGUGGUUUAAUUCGAUGCAACGCGAAGAACCUUACCAGGGCUUGACAUCCCGCGAAUCUCGGCGAAAGUUGAGAGUGCCUACGGGAACGCGGAGACAGGUGGUGCAUGGCUGUCGUCAGCUCGUGUCGUGAGAUGUUGGGUU
rnacentral:rRNA from 2 species